rnacentral:rRNA from 1 species
CCUACGGGAGGCAGCAGUGGGGAAUAUUGGGCAAUGGGCGCAAGCCUGACCCAGCAACGCCGCGUGAAGGAAGAAGGCUUUCGGGUUGUAAACUUCUUUUCUCAGGGACGAAGCAAGUGACGGUACCUGAGGAAUAAGCCACGGCUAACUACGUGCCAGCAGCCGCGGUAAUACGUAGGUGGCAAGCGUUAUCCGGAUUUACUGGGUGUAAAGGGAGUGUAGGCGGGAAAGCAAGUCAGAUGUGAAAACCAGGGGCUCAACCUGUGGCCUGCAUUUGAAACUGUUUUUCUUGAGUACUGGAGAGGCAGACGGAAUUCCUAGUGUAGCGGUGAAAUGCGUAGAUAUUAGGAGGAACACCAGUGGCGAAGGCGGUCUGCUGGACAGCAACUGACGCUGAGGCGCGAAAGCGUGGGGAGCAAACAGGAUUAGAUACCCGAGUAGUC